CAGAGUUGCAAGACUCCCUAAAACCAUUGUGAACCUACCUUCUACCGUUGCUUCGGCGGGCGGGCCCAGCGCCCCCCGGCCCCCCGCGGGCGCCCGCCGGAGGAUACCCAAACUCUUGACAUUAGUGGCCUCUCUGAGUAUUCUUUACUGAAUAAGUCA
rnacentral:misc_RNA from 1 species